rnacentral:rRNA from 1 species
CUAAUACCGGAUAUGACGCAUGAUCGCAUGGUCGUGUGUGGAAAGCUUCGGCGGUGCAGGAUGGGCCCGCGGCCUAUCAGCUUGUUGGUGGGGUAGUGGCCUACCAAGGCGACGACGGGUAGCCGGCCUGAGAGGGCGACCGGCCACACUGGGACUGAGACACGGCCCAGACUCCUACGGGAGGCAGCAGUGGGGAAUAUUGCACAAUGGGCGGAAGCCUGAUGCAGCGACGCCGCGUGAGGGAUGACGGCCUUCGGGUUGUAAACCUCUUUCAGCAGGGAAGAAGCUUUCGGGUGACGGUACCUGCAGAAGAAGCACCGGCUAACUACGUGCCAGCAGCCGCGGUAAUACGUAGGGUGCGAGCGUUGUCCGGAAUUAUUGGGCGUAAAGAGCUCGUAGGCGGCUUGUCACGUCGGUUGUGAAAGCCCGGGGCUUAACCCCGGGUCUGCAGUCGAUACGGGCAGGCUAGAGUUCGGUAGGGG